GCAAAAACCAUAAUUACUUUUG
rnacentral:miRNA from 1 species